rnacentral:misc_RNA from 1 species
CGCGAGAACCUGGUCGAGAACCACCGGAUCGGCGAAGACAACGAACCCGAAACCCCGGGGACGGCCGGUGGUCUUGUCCCGCAUGAUGACGGUCUGGGAGACAUGGCCGUACUUGCCGAAGUACUCCGUGAGGCGGUCCUCGUUCGUCUCCCACGAGAUACCGCCGAUGAAGAGCUUGCCCUGGUCGGAAUCCAUGGCGGCUAGGGUUUGAGAGG